rnacentral:rRNA from 1 species
GACGAACGCUGGCGGCGUGCUUAACACAUGCAAGUCGAACGCUGAAGCUCAGCUUUUGUUGGGUGGAUGAGUGGCGAACGGGUGAGUAACACGUGAGUAACCUGCCCUCUUCUUUGGGAUAACGCCCGGAAACGGGUGCUAAUACUGGAUAUUCACUUGCCUUCGCAUGGGGGUUGGUGGAAAGGUUUGUUCUGGUGGGGGAUGGGCUCGCGGCCUAUCAGCUUGUUGGUGGGGUGAUGGCCUACCAAGGCUUUGACGGGUAGCCGGCCUGAGAGGGUGACCGGUCACAUUGGGACUGAGAUACGGCCCAGACUCCUACGGGAGGCAGCAGUGGGGAAUAUUGCACAAUGGGCGCAAGCCUGAUGCAGCGACGCCGCGUGAGGGAUGGAGGCCUUCGGGUUGUAAACCUCUUUCGCUCAUGGUCAAGCCGCGACGUGGGUUGUGGUGAGGGUAGUGGGUAAAGAAGCGCCGGCUAACUACGUGCCAGCAGCCGCGGUAAUACGUAGGGCGCGAGCGUUGUCCGGAAUUAUUGGGCGUAAAGGGCUUGUAGGCGGUUGGACGCGUCUGCCGUGAAAUUCUCUGGCUUAACUGGGGGCGUGCGGUGGGUACAGGCUGACUUGAGUGCGGUAGGGGAGACAGGGGCUCCUGGUGUCCGGUGGAAUGCGAAAUAUCAGGAAAACACCCGGUGGCAAAGGUGGUUCUUUGGCCGUUUUUGACGUUAUGAACCAAACCGUGGGUGAGCGAACAAGAGAAA